GGUGCCGGACCCCGACCCCGCAGCCUCCCUCAGCCACUCGAAGCGCGACUCAGCCGGCUCGCCGAAUUCGAUCUGAACCUGCGGGCAGACCGGGAAGCCGGCCAGGAUCGAAGCGGCGUUACAGAAGUGCCUUCUUGACCUUUGGAUCUCAUCCACCCAGUUCACCGCAGCCACAGGACUUCAUCCCUUCAUUUGCAACUGUGGAGCACAUCAUCUGCUUCUUCACUCUCCUCCUUUCGGAAUACUUUGCAGUGGUAUCCUAAAUCCUGGCACCCAGGGGGCAAUAUACCAACCUGAGGUCAUCUCUGUGGUUAAAGAAACAGUUGAUACCCCUUCUUCUCUCACACUUCCUUUCUGUGCCGCUGAGCCAUCCAUGGCACUACACUCCUGCCUCGGAGGACCAAGAUUCUCAAUAGGCUAAAGAAAUAAAGCUGCAAAUGGGUGAGGUACUCCUUCCCUAUCUAGGAUUCUUAAGGUAUGGUGUGAUUCCCUGCCUAAAUAUUGUCUUCAAAGUGCUUACCUUAUUCUAUUACUGAAGGAAACAACAGUUACCCAAAAAAGUAUGUUAUAUUAAUGUAAACUAAAUUCAAAUUUGUAGA